rnacentral:rRNA from 1 species
GAUGAACGCUGGCGGCGUGCCUAAUACAUGCAAGUCGAGCGAACGGACGAGAAGCUUGCUCCUCUGAUGUUAGCGGCGGACGGGUGAGUAACACGUGGAUAACCUACCUAUAAGACUGGGAUAACUUCGGGAAACCGUAGCUAAUACCGGAUAAUAUUUUGAACCGCAUGGUUCAAAAGUGAAAGACGGUCUUGCUGUCACUUAUAGAUGGAUCCGCGCUGCAUUAGCUAGUUGGUAAGGUAACGGCUUACCAAGGCAACGAUGCAUAGCCGACCUGAGAGGGUGAUCGGCCACACUGGAACUGAGACACGGUCCAGACUCCUACGGGAGGCAGCAGUAGGGAAUCUUCCGCAAUGGGCGAAAGCCUGACGGAGCAACGCCGCGUGAGUGAUGAAGGUCUUCGGAUCGUAAAACUCUGUUAUUAGGGUAGAACAUAUGUGUAAGUAACUGUGCACAUCUUGACGGUACCUAAUCAGAAAGCCACGGCUAACUACGUG